AGCAGUAGCCGCGGUAAUACAGAGGGUGCGAGCGUUAAUCGGAUUUACUGGGCGUAAAGCGUGCGUAGGCGGCUUCUUAAGUCGGAUGUGAAAUCCCUGAGCUUAACUUAGGAAUUGCAUUCGAUACUGGGAAGCUAGAGUAUGGGAGAGGAUGGUAGAAUUCAAGGUGUAGCGGUGAAAUGCGUAGAGAUCUGGAGGAAUACCGAUGGCGAAGGCAGCCAUCUGGCCUAAUACUGACGCUGAGGUACGAAAGCAUGGGGAGCAAACAGGAUUAGAUACCCCUGUAGUCCCUGUCUCUUAUAC
rnacentral:rRNA from 1 species